CCACCCGCAGCUCCUUAGACGCUCUCUGGGACGCAAGUUAGCGAGUGCAAGAACCCCAGUCCCUCCUGUCCCUGUUGGGGGACUCGUAGUUCACCACCCUUCCUGGUUUCUGCUCCCAAACACUGCUCCCUGAAGCCUCCGCCAGCGCACUCGACCUACAGGAAAGUUGCUCGUAAGCCGUGGAGGGGCGUCAUCGCUUCCUAGCAACGCUCCUAGCAACCGGAUAACAUCUGCUCCCUCUGGUCCAAUGCGAGCUGAGAACAGCUGCGCGCCCGCCUAGCGUUCCGAACCCCGAGCGAGAGGCGCUUCAGAGACUGGAGGGAAGGACCUGCAGGAGCCUGGGCUGCCCGCUGAGCUGCAGUUGCUGCUGCCGCCGCUGUCGCGCCGCCGUCGUCUCGGUCUCUGUCGUACCCCUGGUCUGAAGAGUGACGGCGCCGUGAAAACAGGAGGGAGCAGUGAACCCCUCUCCUUUACGAAGCAGGUGCAUGCGCCAGCCUCCCGGUAACGAUUCAUGAGCUGCUGGCUGUGAGAAAUGCUUGCUGUGCAAAGGGGAACUCUCACCAGAUAUUCUGAAGCUAUCCUAGAGAUACACUUUUCAGAUUGAUUCAGCAUUACCAGCUUAUCCGACAAAAGUAUUACUAUAUACAUUAACAACGUCGAAAGUAGCCUACUUUAAGAGAAAAUAUGCAGAAGAAGAAGAUUUACAUCAAGAUUGCCAUGGGUAUUUUCCAAAACACCUGAUAUUGCCUGAGGACAGGACUUGCAUUCUCAAACUUUCUCUGGAGAAGCUCAGGUUUCUUGAAGACCCAGAAACCUAUUUAAGAAGGUCUGUGUUAAUUAACAAUUUGCUGAGGAAGAUACAUCUAGAGACGGAAAAAGAGAGCUAUGAAUACUUUAAAGAAGCUCCGUGUUAUAAGACUUCUUAUUCUGAUACAAGAAAACGGCUGAAGUUUAUGGUACAGGAAUGCUGUUCUCAGUCUCUCUAUUAUGAAGAGCUGCAUUCAUAUCAUAUUGUGCCUUAUGCUUCGGAGAAUGCCAUUUAUGGAAUGGGCUAUACUAGCAGCCACUUGGAGCAAAAUUCUCAGUUGCUUAUUUAUAAAAUGAAUUAAAGUAACUGUUAAGUCCAUUAUGUUUCUAAAUGCCUGAACUGUUUAUAGUGAAGAUGUUAACAUAAGGCACUAAUUACCAAUGCACUUGAGAUCAAAGAUGAGAUGCAUGCUGAACUGAUUGAUGAAAACCCUGGUUAUUACUCAGCAGUCCUUAAUGUCAUCAAAUCAAAUUGACAAAAUGUUCCCAUGUUCAAAGUAGCAAAUAGGUGUUAUAAAAGCGACUCCCCCCUCCCCAAAGUAUAAAAAGGUGUAUAUGUAGGAAAGGACCUAUAUGAGUUCAUACAGAACUACGAAAAUUCUCAAUCUCCCUCUUUCUAAAUUCUGCUACUCAAUGGAGAGAAACAAAAAGUAACAGAUCAAAUCGAUACUGUACCAUACCAGAAGAUUAAGGGUGGAUUGUUAAUGUAAUUUCUGUAAAUAAUGAGAAGACUAAGUUUAUUUCUCAAAUGCUUUGGCUUGUCAAGCAUUGUGCCAAAUAAUUGAAGCCCUUCUUUUACCUUUAGUGACAAUUAAAGAUGGGGCAAACAUACUACAACUCAACUGCUGAAUGUAACAACCAGACCACUCCAAACUCAUCCAUUUUACUUUCUCUUUUUUUGGUUUGAUAGAUUUUCCUCUAAAGAUGAAAUUUAAUAAAAUGCCUUGCAGAUGGGCUUAUCUCUAAGUUCUAAGGAUUAGUUGAGAUUUGUGGUGGACCUUUUGUUAAGACUUUAGAAUUUUAUUUAUGAUGUCAGUUUUAUAGGCUGUGAUCCUCAGGAAAAAGAUAGGCAAGUAAAAAUUGCUUUUAAUAGAUUGAUAAUUAAGACAAAUAUUAUCUGCUAAAAUUGGCGAUAAUUGAAAUUAAACAUAACAUUAUUUCUUCAUCUAAGAGUGCAUUUAAAGCUGCCUGGAUGAAACUUUGCACUGAUUUUUGUAUAAUAGUUGAUCAUUCAAUAUUUGACAAAAUAUUUCAGAAUGCCUUUGGUGGUAAAGUUUAAAUAGUUCCCUAUAUUUUGCAAUCAAAAAAUCAUUAUUUAACAAAAUGAAUAGAUUCUUGAAAUUGUUGUUUAAAGUGGUUCAUAAUAUGUUCUUUGAGGUUUGAAUGUGAUGUCUGAUUUUAAUGUCCAGAGUUAUGUCCUAUGGAGCAUACCACUUAAAGACUUGUCGUUAAUUGAUAAAACAGAUUGGGAAAACUAGGUGCCAAAGGUAUAUUCAAGAAAAUACCAAAGAUGUAAAAGCAAGUGUUAGAGAGAUUAUGCUAAUAAAGAUAAGAAUCAAAAAUAAGGAUUUGCAGAGGACUAGAGGAACAUUGGGAUUGGGAAUUAUUUGCUUUCUAACAUGCUUUCAAAUCAAAUUCUACAUAAUAUCAAUAAUCAAAGGCACUACUUUAAGAGAAGAUAUUCCAAUACUUCAGUAAUCUUAUGUCUUCAUAAAUUUAGUUACUGUGAUUUAUUGACAUUUUAUCUUCUCUGUUUGAAUUCAGUCUUGUAACCAAGAGGGCCUACCCCUAUACAGGAUAAUUUACAUUUUAGUUUUAAUUCACUACUUGCUCCCUCUAAUAAUCUUCAGGAUGAUUAAUGUGGAUCAUUUGGUAUAAAGCCCUAUUACUAUACACUGUUGAAGACCAUAUA